CCUACGGGUGGCAGCAGUGGGGAAUAGUGGACAAUGGGGGGAACCCUGAUCCAGCCAUGCCGCGUGUGUGAAGAAGGCCCUCGGGUUGUAAAGCACUUUCAGUGAGGAAGAACGCCUGGUGGUUAAUACCCAUCAGGAAAGACAUCACUCACAGAAGAAGCACCGGCUAACUCCGUGCCAGCAGCCGCGGUAAUACGGAGGGUGCGAGCGUUAAUCGGAAUUACUGGGCGUAAAGCGCGCGUAGGUGGCUUGAUAAGCCGGUUGUGAAAGCCCCGGGCUCAACCUGGGAACGGCAUCCGGAACUGUCAAGCUAGAGUGCAGGAGAGGAAGGUAGAAUUCCCGGUGUAGCGGUGAAAUGCGUAGAGAUCGGGAGGAAUACCAGUGGCGAAGGCGGCCUUCUGGACUGACACUGACACUGAGGUGCGAAAGCGUGGGUAGCAAACAGGAUUAGAUACCCGGGUAGUC
rnacentral:rRNA from 1 species